rnacentral:tRNA from 3 species
GGGCCCAUAGCUCAGCGGUUAGAGCAGCCGGCUCAUAACCGGUCGGUCCCAGGUUCGAAUCCUGGUGGGCCCA